rnacentral:rRNA from 1 species
AGCAGCCGCGGUAAUUCCAGCUCCAAUAGCGUAUAUUAAAGUUGUUGCAGUUAAAAAGCUCGUAGUUGAAUUUCGGGGUCAGCAGGUCGGUCGUGCCAAUGGUAUGCACUGGCCUUGCUGAUUCCUCCCUCUUGAUGAGCCGUAAUGCCAUUAAUUUGGUGUUGCGGGGAAUCAGGACUGUUACUUUGAAAAAUUAGAGUGUUUAAAGCAGGCAAGCGCUUGAAUACAUUAGCAUGGAAUAAUGAAAUAGGACGUUUGAUCCUAUUUUGUUGGUUUCUAGGAUUGACGUAAUGAUUAAUAGGGAUAGUUGGGGGCAUUAGUAUUCAAUUGUCAGAGGUGAAAUUCUUGGAUUUAUUGAAGACUAACUACUGCGAAAGCAUUUGCCAAGGAUGUUUUCAUUAAUCAAGAACGAAAGUUAGGGGAUCGAAGACGAUCAGAUACCGUCGCAGUCUUAACCAUAAACUAUGCCGACUAGGGAUCGGAUGAUGUUAAUUUUUAAUGA